GACGAACGCUGGCGGCGUGCUUAACACAUGCAAGUCGAACGGAAAGGCCCUGCUUUUGUGGGGUGCUCGAGUGGCGAACGGGUGAGUAACACGUGAGUAACCUGCUCUUGACUUUGGGAUAACUUCGGGAAACUGGGGCUAAUACCGGAUAGGAGCUCCUGCUGCAUGGUGGGGGUUGGAAAGUUUCGGCGGUAGGGGAUGGACUCGCGGCUUAUCAGCUUGUUGGUGGGGUAGUGGCUUACCAAGGCUUUGACGGGUAGCCGGCCUGAGAGUGUGACCGGCCACAUUGGGACUGAGAUACGGCCCAGACUCCUACGGGAGGCAGCAGUGUGGAAUAUUGCACGAUGGGCGGAAGCCGGAUGCAGCAACGCCGCGUGCGGGAUUGCGGCCUUCGUGUUGUAAACCGCUUUCGCCUGUAACGAAGCGUGAGUGACGGUAAUGGGUAAAGAAGCACCGGCUAACUACGUG
rnacentral:rRNA from 1 species